rnacentral:rRNA from 1 species
AUUGAACGCUGGCGGAAUGCUUUACACAUGCAAGUCGAACGGCAGCACGGGGGCAGCCCUGGUGGCGAGUGGCGAACGGGUGAGUAAUACAUCGGAACGUGCCCGGUCGUGGGGGAUAACGUAGCGAAAGUUACGCUAAUACCGCAUACGAUCUGAGGAUGAAAGCGGGGGACCUUCGGGCCUCGCGCGAUCGGAGCGGCCGAUGUCAGAUUAGGUAGUUGGUGGGGUAAAGGCCUACCAAGCCGACGAUCUGUAGCUGGUCUGAGAGGACGACCAGCCACACUGGGACUGAGACACGGCCCAGACUCCUACGGGAGGCAGCAGUGGGGAAUUUUGGACAAUGGGCGCAAGCCUGAUCCAGCCAUUCCGCGUGCAGGACGAAGGCCUUCGGGCUGUAAACUGCUUUUGUACGGAACGAAAAGGCUCUGGCUAAUACCUGGGGCUCAUGACGGUACCGUAAGAAUAAGCACCGGCUAACUACGU